rnacentral:rRNA from 1 species
CUAUACAUGACUCUGGGCAUAUCAAUAAGCGGAGGAAAAGAAACUAACAAGGAUUCCCCUAGUAACGGCGAGUGAAGCGGGAAGAGCUCAAAUUUGAAAUCUUAAAGGGUUUCCCUUUACGAAUUGUAGUUUAAAGAAGUGUUUUCUGUUGGAGUUUCGGUAAAAGUUCUUUGGAAUAGGACAUCAUAGAGGGUGAGAAUCCCGUAUUUGACCGUUACUUUCCAGCUGUGUGAUACACUUUCAAAGAGUCGGAUUGUUUGGGAAUGCAGUCCUAAAUGGGUGGUAAAUUUCAUCUAAAGCUAAAUAUUGGCGAGAGACCGAUAGCGAACAAGUACCGUGAGGGAAAGAUGAAAAGAACUUUGAAAAGAGAGUUAAACAGUACGUGAAAUUGUCAAAAGGGAAGCGUUUGACACCAGUGUUGUUUAGUUGAAAAUCAAUUCAAUAAUUUUUGAUUUUAAGUAGUAUUGACUUCAUCAGCUUGCUGCUUUCUUUUCAGGAAUUAUUGAAUGCACUUUUCGGUUAACAAGUCAACAUCAAUUUCUUUUGUUGUAAAAGGGUAAGAGGAAGGUGGCUUACGCUUCGGCGUAAGUGUUUAUAGCCUUUUACCUCUGCAAUCGGAGAGAUUGAGGACAGCAGCGUAGACUCUUCGGGGUUAGAUACACUUGUGCUAAGCUAUAGCCUUGUAUAGACAACUUGUUGACUAUGCUCAGUCAUGUAGCUUACUCGCUUGUGCUAUUUUACCUACGCUUAGGAUGUUGAUAGUCACAGCGUGUAC